GAACUGGACAACUAGGUCUAUGGCGUAUGUGUGGAAAACUAAAGGUAUUCAAGUCCGGCCGGGAUGGCCAUUAUCUGGGCCCUUCCAGACUCCCACUGUCACUUCGGAGUGGUUUUUCCUUUCUUCACCUCGGAAGGCUUCAAGGCUUCGAUGGCAAUCGGACUCAAGGGCAAAACCUGAUGCAAAUUACUUAAUCAUGGAAUUCUUCAACGGAUGGACCUCUAGGAUCCCCACUAAAUCUCACUGGCCACUUAUCGAUUGGAAUUCUGGACCAUCUUGGCGUUCCACCACCUGAAGUGGUUUGGAUGCCCCCUACAUCGUUAGAUGCGCGAAAAUAAGUUGGUUCCCCAUAAGGUCUAGACU